GCGACUUAACUAGAAGGAGAAGUUAGACCCCGUACAAAAUCGAUGUAAUGCACAUAGCAAAAGAAAGGUCGUUUAAAAAUAAGAAAUCAAAAGAAAAAAAAUUGAAGGACAAAAACAAAAUGGUGGAAAACGUUGCAGAAAAGAAAAAACAAAAAUAAAAAUAAAGCACUGGAGGUUUCUGGAAGGUUUUAAUUAACCAACCGAAACUAACUACCUUAUAACGAGAUUCAAAAAUAAAACAUUCCCUAUUUCUUUUGCCGGGAGUCAAACACAAGACCAAGGAUUACAUAGAAGCUUAACCAUUGAACCAGCAAGUUCAUUUUUUACAUCAAUUGACUAGAUUUAAUUAUAAGCCAAACGUUCAAGGGUAAGGGUUUAAGCAAAAUUAAAAAAAUUUCCCAAAACAAGAUUUGAACCCAAAACCUCAC
rnacentral:lncRNA from 1 species